CUACGUGCCAGCAGCCGCGGUAAUACGUAGGGCGCGAGCGUUGUCCGGAAUUAUUGGGCGUAAAGGGCUUGUAGGCGGUUGGUCGCGUCUGCCGUGAAAUCCUCUGGCUUAACUGGGGGCGUGCGGUGGGUACGGGCUGACUUGAGUGCGGUAGGGGAGACUGGAACUCCUGGUGUAGCGGUGGAAUGCGCAGAUAUCAGGAAGAACACCGGUGGCGAAGGCGGGUCUCUGGGCCGUUACUGACGCUGAGGAGCGAAAGCGUGGGGAGCGAACAGGAUUAGAUACCCUGGUAGUCCACGCUGUAAACGUUGGGCACUAGGUGUGGGGGCCACCCGUGGUUUCUGCGCCGUAGCUAACGCUUUAAGUGCCCCGCCUGGGGAGUACGGCCGCAAGGCUAAAACUCAAAGGAAUUGACGGGGGCCCGCACAAGCGGCGGAGCAUGCGGAUUAAUUCGAUGCAACGCGAAGAACCUUACCAAGGCUUGACGUGC
rnacentral:rRNA from 1 species